GGUGAGUAAUGUCUGGGGAUCUGCCCGAUAGAGGGGGAUAACCACUGGAAACGGUGGCUAAUACCGCAUAACGUCGNNNNANNNNNNNNNNGGACCUUCGGGCCUCUCACUAUCGGAUGAACCCAGAUGGGAUUAGCUAGUAGGCGGGGUAAUGGCCCACCUAGGCGACGAUCCCUAGCUGGUCUGAGAGGAUGACCAGCCACACUGGAACUGAGACACGGUCCAGACUCCUACGGGAGGCAGCAGUGGGGAAUAUUGCACAAUGGGCGCAAGCCUGAUGCAGCCAUGCCGCGUGUAUGAAGAAGGCCUUCGGGUUGUAAAGUACUUUCAGCGGGGAGGAAGGCGACGGGGUUAAUAACCCUGUCGAUUGACGUUACCCGCAGAAGAAGCACCGGCUAACUCCGUGCCAGCAGCCGCGGUAAUACGGAGGGUGCAAGCGUUAAUCGGAAUUACUGGGCGUAAAGCGCACGCAGGCGGUCUGUUAAGUCAGAUGUGAAAUCCCCGGGCUUAACCUGGGAACUGCAUUUGAAACUGGCAGGCUUGAGUCUUGUAGAGGGGGGUAGAAUUCCAGGUGUAGCGGUGAAGUGCGUAGAGAUCUGGAGGAAUACCG
rnacentral:rRNA from 1 species